AAUCAACGCUGGCGGCGUGCCUCAGACAUGCAAGUCGAACGCGAAAGUUCCCUUCGGGGGAUGAGUAGAGUGGCGCACGGGUGAGUAACACGUAGGUAAUCUACCUUUGGAUGGGGAAUAACAACCGGAAACGGUUGCUAAUACCGCAUAAUGCAGCGGCACCUAAUGGUGACAGUUGUUAAAGCGGGGGAUCGAAAGACCUCGCGUCUGAAGAGGAGCCUGCGGCGGAUUAGCUAGUUGGUAAGGUAACGGCUUACCAGGGCGACGGAUCCGUAGCCGGCCUGAGAGGGCGGUCGGCC
rnacentral:rRNA from 1 species